GAUGAACGCUGGCGGCGUGCCUAAUACAUGCAAGUCGAGCGAACAGACGAGGAGCUUGCUCCUCUGACGUUAGCGGCGGACGGGUGAGUAACACGUGGAUAACCUACCUAUAAGACUGGGAUAACUUCGGGAAACCGGAGCUAAUACCGGAUAAUAUAUUGAACCGCAUGGUUCAAUAGUGAAAGACGGUUUUGCUGUCACUUAUAGAUGGAUCCGCGCCGCAUUAGCUAGUUGGUAAGGUAACGGCUUACCAAGGCAACGAUGCGUAGCCGACCUGAGAGGGUGAUCGGCCACACUGGAACUGAGACACGGUCCAGACUCCUACGGGAGGCAGCAGUAGGGAAUCUUCCGCAAUGGGCGAAAGCUUGACGGAGCAACGCCGCGUGAGUGAUGAAGGUCUUCAGAUCGUAAAACUCUGUUAUUAGGGAAGAACAAAUGUGUAAGUAACUAUGCACGUCUUGACGGUACCUAAUCAGAAAGCCACGGCUAACUACGU
rnacentral:rRNA from 1 species